rnacentral:rRNA from 1 species
UGGGGAAGUAUUGGGUCGAAUGGGCGGAAAGACCUGACCCACGCGACGCCGCGUGAGGGAAGACGGUCUUCGGAUUGUAAACCUUAGUCAACAGGGAAGAAAUCAAUGACGGUACCUGUGGAGGAAGCCACGGCUAACUACGUGCCAGCAGCCGCGGUAAUACGUAGGUGGCAAGCGUUAUCCGGAUUUACUGGGUGUAAAGGGUGUGUAGGCGGGGAGGCAAGUCGGAUGUGAAAACUAUGGGCUCAACUCAUAGCUUGCAUUCGAAACUGUUUCUCUUGAGGGUCGGAGAGGUAAAUGGAAUUCCCAGUGU